UGUCGUUAGUAGUGUGCGGCCUGCACUGAACGAAACCGCGUCGAAGCCGCAUGCGAUCAUGAGCUUUUUCAGGAUUAUUUUUCAGUGUCGCGAUUCGAUUUUUCAGUGAUUGCUCGACCGCAGCAUUUUUCAGUCACGAACUGCCAAAUUUUAAAAUAGAACUCGAUUUUGUGUACCGGCAUGUGAAUUUCAGUAAUUGUGAAAAAACUGGCUCGAGAAAUGGAUGACAUGAAAAAAUUGGCCAUUUGGGUGGUUGUGCUCGCGGUUCUGCAACAUGCAGCGGCGAAGGAGACGGAAGUUCGAGCACUUGUAGGGACGAAUGUGCUCCUGCCUUGCAGGGUGGACGUGAACCAAUGUGGCACCUUGCACAGCGUCAAAUGGUACAAGGAUACGUCCAGGAUAUACGUGUUCAGUCAAGCUGGCCAGAUCCGGCGGGCCGAAGGAGACGCCACCGAAAGAAUGAACAUGACUUAUAACGAAGCUAAAAAUGAAACAUUUUUACAAAUAUCUCCGGUGAAAGUAGACGACGAAGCGACUUACAAAUGCGAAAUAACAUAUCUUGAAGUGGUGGAAAACUGCGACGUUAUUCAAAUCGUUAAACUAAUGACAUUAGUCAAACCUUCUGAUGUUGUUUUGACCUACAACGGAAAAGAAGUCAACGAAUCAUUGAGUCUGGAAGAAAAAAUUGAGGGUGAUGAUGUGGUACUGACUUGUAAAGCACCUGGCGGAAAACCCAUUCCCACAGUGUCAUGGUACAAUGGAACACAGCUUAUGAAUAGAGCCUCAUACUCAGCACGCAGCGAUGGAAACGCAACCGGAACUGGAAUAUCGAAACUGCAACUGACGCUUUCAAAAUAUGAUCUGAAUGCACGCUUUGAAUGCAAAGUUGAAAGUCAAGCUUUAGAAGAACCGAUCGUGAAAGGGGUGACGCUUCCCGUUAAAGUGAAGCCAACGAAAAUCAAGUUGUCGGGUGUGAACGGCCACGUGAAUCAGGGAACAAUAGUGUCACUUAUAUGCGAGGUGUUUGGGGCCCGACCAAUGGCUGAAGUGGAAUGGUACAACAGCACAUCCAUCCGAAUGGUCACAAACAACAGUCGAGGAAUUGAAGUUCGUACAGUUUACGAGCAAGAUGCGGGCGGCACUUACACGACGAAAAGCACGCUUAGUUUUCCAGCGACGCGAUUCGAGAAUGGCAAACGUUUCGAAUGUUACGGCAGAAACGAAGUGACAACGAUUAAAAGCGAGCCAGAUUUGUAUGAACCGAAAAUCUUGGACGUACGAUAUCCGCCAGUGAUUGAAGUUGGUGCUAUAGGAAACACAGUUGUUAACGAAAGUGCAAACGUUACUCUAACUUGUCGAUAUUUUGCAAAUCCCCAAAAACUGGAAGGUGCAACUUGGAUCAAAGAUGGGAAAAACUUGAGUAAAAUAUUGAAUAAGCAUUACGGAGGUGAUGUGGAAAUGCCGUCUCUUACUAUAAUAGGCGUUACAAGGGAAGAUGCUGGCGACUACGGUUGCUUAUUACAGAACGCUGUGAAUUCGUCUCUUUCCGAAGACAUUAUUUAUUUGGAUGUUCAUUAUCCUCCUGACGUGGAAGUGGUAAUGGCUCCCUCGACACCUGCCAAUGCCACUGAACAAACAAAUGUUACACUAGUUUGCAACGUAACAUCGGGGAAUCCCCCAUCGCUACGUAAAGUGCGUUGGUUUCUCGACGGUGAACUUAUGGCCGAACUUCCCGAAUGCAACUACAGUCAACCUGUGAUCAACGACACGAUUGGUGGUCCGUUUUGUGGCAUAGAUCCGAGUAUUUUGAGUUUGAUUAAAGUCGAACAGACUUUUGCUGGAAACUACACCUGUCAAGGGGAAAACGAAGCCGGGUUAGGACCGGUCUCUGAACCUCGAGAGCUAAUAGUUUACUACCCACCUUCUGCUGCCAAACUCACGCAUUAUCCUCCUACGGUCAUGAAAAGUGGACAAGUUACGUUAACAUGCAGUGUGGAAGACACUGGUUUUCCUACAAAUGUCACGUAUCUUUGGUUCCGCAACGGUCACAUGAUCCACAAUAUUACAGUCUCGAAUUGGACCAUUCCACAUGCUUCUUUGGAAACACGAAGCAAUUUCACGUGUAUUGCGUUGAAUAAAGGAGGACAAAGCAAGCCGGCUUAUGAUUUCGUCAAUGUUGAAGCACCACCGACUGUUAUCACCAAAGCUAGUGCAACUUAUAAAGGAGUUCUUUACACCUCACAAAAUAUGUCCCUCAGCUGUCAAAUCGAAUGUUUUCCGAGAUGUUCAAUCAAAUGGUACAAAGACGGACACGAGAUUAAUUUCGAAAACAACAAACUUUACUAUGUGAUCAACACGAAUCAUUCAGCGGAUUAUAAAACGAAUGAUUUUGAAUCAAUUGAAUCGACUCUGGUUUGGAAUAUGACAAACUGGCCUGGAAAACAACUAGACAAAACCGCUCCUGACUCAUACUACACGUGUGCUAGUUACGACCCACCAGAUAGACAUCGAGUAGGAGCAAAUUUUUCUACAGCCAUUGGUGUAGAAUAUCCCCCAGAUAACUUAACCGUGUCUGAUAGAAUUGUCGACGUAAUAGAAGACGAGUCUCCUGUUGAUGUUAAAUGUAGUGGAGUUGGUCGACCAAAUCUCAGCUACGUAUGGAAAAGAAAUCUUACGUCUGAAGUAAUUGUAAAAAGCGACACUCUUAAACUUCCCAAAAUGUCCAGAACUAAAGCGGGGUACUACACUUGUGAAGCUUUCAACAGGCACGGCAAUAAGACAAUUCAAGUCAAAUUCAACGUCUGGUACAAACCGGAAUGCAAGAUUGAACGCGGCGAGAUCGAAUACAACCCUUCGUUAAUUUGCAAAGCAGACGGAAAUCCAAGUGAAAUGACUUUCACCUGGAUGAUGAUCGAACAGAACAAAACUUCAGAGUUGAAUCCUUCUGGAGGAAAUGCCAACUUCAGUUAUUUCUUCUUAGAUUCAAGCGUAACCACCGACAUCGAGUACCAAUGUGUGGCAAACAACUCAAUUAAAAGUAGUGAUCCCUGCUCCAUAAAAAUUCCUGCAUACCAGGAGCAAAGUAGUCAAAUUGGACGGCCAGGAAGCAAACUGCCUUGGUAUCUCAGCAAAGAAAAUCUGAUCGUUCUUAUAGCAUCAAUUAUAACACUCAUCAUCUGUUUCAUAAUCGUCUGCAUCGUCAUCAUCGUUUUGUGCCGGAAGAAGCGUCAAAACACCAAAUGCAAUAACCCGCUCGAAAUGGAAGAAAGAGAAAAACCCGAUGGCCAAUCGCCCGACAGUCCCACUCAGUCGAAAUGGCCUUUGAGGCCUGGAGUUUUGGUCCAUGUAGGUAAAAUGCAUAAUGUAAACAUUAGUCAAUUAAGUCCCGAGUCGACCCCAUUUCGAACAACUUCCGUUUCGAGCACUAUUCUUAAGUAUAAAAUAAACAAGUCGAAAGUUUAUGCCAGGUUGGAAAGAUUAAAGGAUUGGCUUGGAUUUGGCGGACGCGAACGCAUCCCUAGUGGCAUAACCGAGGGAGCUAGUGGAGUCGUUACUUACAAAAAAAUCAAACCGACCACACCAUCUUCUGACAUCAAUACCAACUCGAGGAAACGGAAAAAGCCCGGAUGUGCACCCAACCCGUCCUCUACAGGAGAUAAGACGAGAUUAGGGGCUGCUCCACCGGUUGGCGGUUCAGCAGACCCCACAAAUGAUCACGACAAAGGAUUUUACGAAAACCUCCCUUUCCACGGCAUGCAAAACCCACCAAAUAAACCAAUUUCUAUCAUUGCUCCGUUCACUCAAGAAAUGCGUAAUUUUACCCCCAAACCCCCACCUUGCCCUAAACUUAUCCAACGACAUCAGUCCUUUCACGGCUUCCAGACGCAACACUUGACCAACUUUGAUUUCAACCGAAGCAACCCUUUCUUGAAUAAUUGGGGUAACUUUCAAAACUUUGCAUACAAUCAACAAGUUGAGCAGCCAUUCACCUUCCGGAAUAAUUUUCAGCCGAUAUUGAAUUUUAAUCCGUUUUUACUCCCGAAUCCUUUCAGUGUACCACCUCGAACGAAUCGAGUUGCAGGUCGAAGGGAAACGGAUGUGAGACGAACGGCUUCCGGUAUCAAUUUCGAAGAAAAUGAGAAUGCUAAAAACAAGGAAAAAAUCGCAAAGUCAAUACCAAACGAUAAGCGUUUCGGUUCCUUAGAACUGAAAAAGCACAAAUGUUACUCACCCACGUUUUAUUCAAUGCGAUGUAAGAAACACGCCAAGAAAAGACCAGUAGUUUAUGCGUUACCAAAAAAAGUUUUCGGUGAACUUUCACCAAAUGAGGAGAAACCCCAAUUUCAAAACCUUACAGACAGUAUAGAAAUUUCUGAACAAAAUUCAGAAACUAAAACUUUUCCAAUACCAGCUCCCAGGUGUCGAAAACAUUUGAAAAAAGAUGUAACAACCAACUCCCCAAAUCCGGACGUAUCCAAUAGCUCAAACGAAGGUUCAGAACAACUCGAGAGCGAAAUUUCUGUUAUAGAAGCCCAAAUUCACACAAACGACGUAAAAUCAGAUACUGAAAGCAAAAAUAGUAGCGUAAUUAAAGUGGAAGCUAUGAAAGCCCUGAAAAAUUCUCCUAUGCUUAAAGUUAGUCCCAAUUUUAUCAAACCCAAAACCGAAAGUCCUAAAGGAGCCUUGUCCUUGCAAAUCCAAGCCAAAAGAAAAAAUUCCACCGACAAUUUAACUCAAACAGAUGAUAGUAGCAAAGAGAAUUUACCCUUAAUACCACAAAUGCCAUUACUAAACCCUCAAUGUAAGUGGAGUCCCGGCUUUACCCAGAACGCUUUUUACACACUAACCACCCCGCAUUAUAAACAUAAUGUCGGCUUGCCCCCGCAAUAUUCAGCGACCAUCCCUCACCAAAAACACACCAAGCUCAUCCCUCGAGCUUUGUUCAAUGAGCCCUUACCGAAGAGCAAAUCUUUCUCGUCGAAACCCAAACACAAAAAGCACUUUCAAAUCCCGCUACAAAAGUGCCACAGUUUUAAGUUUCAAACGGCGGAAAGUUACUUUCAACCGAUUCGAAACAUCCACGAGGAGGAUCUUAUGAAGAACGGCUACGUGUCGGAUUACCCACGACAUCACAAGCGCGAAAAGGCUAAGCAAAAAACUAAGGGGCCUUUGGUGGUAAUGAGACCCAGCGAGUAUCACGGGGGCAUGCAAUUCCCCGAAACUGUACAAAGCUCGGUUCAGCUUCAAUAUCCGCAGCCGGUCUUAGGAAGGAGUGUAAAGAAGCCGAACGGAGUGGUCUACGCAGAUCUAGAUAUGCCUAAGACUAACAAGAAGAGCUCACACGACAACAGCUCUUCGUUACCAAAUAAGACACAAAAGUCCAAAUCAAAGACUGAAUAUGCAACGCUUAGUUUUAACGAUGUUGGUCAAGAAAUUGACGUUUAACAUUCAAUUAGGAUGCUACCUUUACUAAUUUGCUUAAGACUAAUGGGACAACCAAUACUGGUAGUGAUACUUAUAUUUUCUAAGCCUUACCGGCCGGAAUUCAGUGACCUAGAAUAUGCAGACGUUGAUUACAAAUACGGCCCUAUAAAUUACAAGGCGGCUUCCAUUUACGCUGCCA